AGCAGCCGCGGUAAUUCCAGCUCCAAUAGCGUAUAUUAAAGUUGUUGCAGUUAAAAAGCCGUAGUUGAAUUUCGGGAUCAAAUUUAAUGCUGUCCGGGUUGCCGUUCGCUUCGGUUAGUCAGUACCUGGGUUUUUAAUUCGGUUUGGCCUUUUUCCCAUUUUGGCUUUGACCCGAAAAUUCCCUUCUGGAACGAAAUCGUCAAUUUAAGAUUUUGGGUUGCAUUUCGAAUUUUGGGUAGGUCAAUGUCAGGGGAAGCAAUUGUUCAAGGCCAUUGCAAAAAUUUGAUUGAACCGUUGGUUUAAAAAAAGUUUAAGGCAAGGGUGUUUCAUUAAACGGCCAGGUUCGUAAAAUACG
rnacentral:rRNA from 1 species